GAAGCAGAAGGAAUCUAUCGGGCACCAUGAAUGCUUUUGAAUCCAGAAGUACUCUACCAGACACCAGCCGAGCCAACCUCCCAAUAAUGAGAGACACACACCAGCCCGUAGAUACAAUUAUUAGAAAUUCCUGGUUUUGUGCCCAUGUUGAAAGAAGGCCUGAAUGAGUAUGCUAAGGACCCGAAAGUGAGCCGCUCUCCCUAACUCCAGCUUACGCGGUUAAUUAGAUUUGGAUGGUUUCAGAGGAGCAGCUGGAGUUUUCAGAAAAUGGGAACCAUAAAAAGGGACUAUUCAAGGCGAACACCUGGAGAUAAGCACCUGAUCGUGGAGGUGCACCCUGGCGAGCUGAAGGCACGGAAGUAUGCAGCCUGGUGCUCCUAUCUCCUCCCAGGAAGGAAAGGCUCUGGCUCUGGGGCCCUCUACCCCACAGGUAUCUGAACCAAAAGGCUGGGCAUUAACUGGGCAAUGAAGAGGAAGAGAGUGGGGGGCUGGGGGUGGCGUAGUAUGGG
rnacentral:lncRNA from 1 species